GGAGACAGGAGGCUGACUGCCUGGCAGGAGGAAUGGUUUUCAUGGGAACAGCAUUGAAAGCCUGGCGCUGGGCGAGGACCCUUGCCAGCAGCCUCGUUUGCUGCUGGCCCUCUAGUUUGGCUGCGUACAAGUUGUUUAUACUUCAGAUGCGCUAAUGAACAGCCCCUCUCACGGAGCGGGUCCUUGGAAUAGUUUCAUCCCAGCAUGUGCCCACUCAGUCAGAGAAUCAGUAGAGAGCUGCUGUGCUCUCUGCAUGCCUGCUAAGCUAAUUCACCAAUUGUGCAGUCCUGGUUUUCUAUACCUCCUGGGGGAAGGCUUUCAUCAAGCCCAGGUCUUUCUGGAUUGAGCAAUUGGACAAAUGGGUGGGGUCUUGAUUGUGACACUGGAGCUGGAAUGAGGAAAACAUCAGGCAAAGCCUUGUGUCUCAGGGAAGCCACAUUCUAGAAAGCAUCUCUAGGUACGGAUAAACAAACAUGCAGUAGGCGAGAUGCUGAUUAGUAUCUGCUGAAACUUAGAUACCCUGCGGGACCGCAUCGAACUUGUGCUUUUGAAAAGCCAAACUCCUCCCUUUCCUUUGCCUGGUGCCAUGCUGUGAGUAGUGUGUUGAUGGAGUUCACUGAGAGUGUAUCUGGGACAUCACUUCUAAAGAAGACCUCAGAAUGGUGUGUUGAGAGGAGGAAGCCAAGGAGUGCAGGAAGAAAAAGGAAGGAUUUGACAGAAGGAAAGCUAGGAAGAAGGCCAAUACAGAAGGGAUCGAAUGAGGAAGGGAGUGUGGUGUGAACUGAGUCUCCAUUUGAGUAAGGCAGGGCCAGAGUAAGCCAAUGGGGUUUCGUUCUGACUUAGAAGUUCAUGGAGGUGUGUUUGUUAAGCAGAAGGGAGAGAGGCACCGUGGCCUGAGUGCCACCAUUCUGCUGUGCUGUACUACAGAACAACAGAGGGGAUAAAAAUGCUGGCCAGGAGAUCCUGCAGUAGAGAGGUCCAGAGAGAGAAGGUGAUGGGUUGGCCUAAAGUGGUAUUGGAGAUGGGAAGUCAUGUUGGAAUUGAAACACAUUCUUGUGUUUAAUACCACUUGUGUAUGUGCCUAACAACAAGCAAGCAGUCAACUCCAGAUGGGUGUCUCAACAUUUCACCUUAUUUCUUUCUCUUUAAAAUUUUUUUUGAGUAUUGCAUUUAAAUAACUUUCCCUUUCUUUCCUUCAACUUCUCCUGUUUUCUCCUUACCUCUGAAAAUACACCCACACCCACUCACAGACACACAGGCACACACGGAGACAUGCACACUACCUGCUGAGCCCUUUUAGUGUUCCUUAUAUAUAUGUGGUCUUAGGUAUUGGAUAACCAGUUAGGGAACUUAUUCUGGAGGAAGACGGACUCUUCUUCUCAGUGCACUUACUAAUUGAUUGUCGCUCUUGAGCUAACCAAGGAGUAGUUUCUCUAGUUGGCCUCUGUACUUACAAACACUGUGAUGACAUCUCCAGAUGACGCCUUCACUGGAAUGCAUUUUCUUCCCUCCAGCACAUACCCUUGCAUCUGGCGACUAACCGUAAGUAUAAGAACCUUUCUCCUUAUAUGUAGUUGUGACUCCAGCCACACUGGAGAGGGGCAAGGCCAUGAACGGACUGAUGGUUUGACCUUUGAAAUGUCACUCUUCUUAAGCUCUCGAGCUGUGGGGUGGAAAUGGGGAACAGGCCACACCAAGUGUUUUCCAGCCUGACCACUGGAAUUCACUCCCACCAAGGGGAAGAAGCUAUGUGUGUUUUACUUUAUACAGGGCUGAGAGAAGGGAACACAAGCAAAUAGCACAGGAUGCCAUCUGUCUGGGGGCGUGGAUCAGUGCGUAGAAUUCAUGCUGAGGUAUGCAUACUACAGGUGACAGGUAAGGACUUCCCAAGGUGUGGAUAGAUGGACAAUUUUGGUGAAUGAAGUCUCUAAAUACGCAAUUUCCAUGCGGCUCUUACUUGGAUAAUGAGCCACAGUGGGGUUCAAUCACUUUCUUUCCCAUGACUUUUUUCAAAGUCCUGUUUGUAUAGCUUUAUAUGCAAUGGCAUGCCUCCCCCCAUAUGUCAAUUCUCAUGAUAUGUCCUUAUUUUGACAAAUAAACCUCAAGAAGACUAAAACCUGAACAGCUCAAAGCGCUAGAAACUGGUAUGUACUCUUCAUCCAGACAUUGAAAGUUUCCCUUUCCAGUUUGUGAACAGAUGAGUUUUUUAAAAAUGUUUUACAUUUUAUUGGUUAUUAAUUAUAAAAAUGUUUUACAUAGUUGCUAUGGUUACCUUUCCCUGGCUUUUACAAGACAGGCUUUGCCAACAAUCAGGGUCAGAGGGCCCUACGUUCCUCAGCUGAGCUAUUGGCUACUGACAGAUUCUGGGUGUGGGGGAGUCAUGGUUUUCAGUUGUGUAUACAUUAGUGACUCUACAAGCUUUAGUGGGUAGGUUUGUGGUCACACGGAUAGUCAUGGUUAAAUCCAAAAGGUUACCAAACCGAAAAAAUGUGAAUGUGGGAAAGGCAUUUGUAGGGAAGAGUGGGCACUGGCCAGAGGGAGAUGAGAGGGUGUGUGUGUGUGUGUGUGUGUGUGUGUGUGUGUUAGAGGGUAAUCAGGAUGUAGCACAGCUAAUGCACAAAAAAACACCAAAGAACAAGUUUAAUUUUUUUUUUUGAGACAGGGUUUCUCUGUGUAACCCUGGUUGUCCUGGAACUCACUUUGUCGACCAGGCUGACCUCGAACUCAGAAAUCUGCCUGCCUCUGCCUCCCAAGUGCUGGGAUUAAAGGCGUGCGCCACCACACUGGCUAAGAACAAGUUUAAUUAAUAUAGGAUGCUAUUAAAUGCAGGUUUGUUAUUUUAAUGAAAUUCAAAAUAAUAAUAUUUCUAACUCCUAAGAUGCUUGUACCAUUCAAAUACUCAUUUUAGUAUAAUGUAUUCAAACCACAUUGAGUGAGUUAAGUAUACAAGUGAGUUAGAACUAUGUAAACUUGAAAGAACCUGUUGUGGUCCACAUGUUACAGUGGGGUGGUCAGCAGGACACACCUACACAUGAAGUGAUGCUGUUUUCUGGUCAAUCUUGUGAGGGAAUGAGAUACAAAUAUGAUAUCCAGAGGAAAGGGAGAAUACAAAAUGUCUCACUUAUAAAUAAGAAGCUCACUCAUGAACUUGAAACAUGACUGAUGAUAAGCAUCCAGUCGCUCUGAUAUUCAAAUCAGGUUGUUUCAAAAUAUCAGCAUUCGAACACAUGGCAACAGUAAUAAAACAUCCAGAAACCACUUUAAAACUGUGUUCUGUCAUUGAAGUUGGAAGGGCUAAACCCUUGUUAAGGCCUUGCUGUGUGUGAACUCUCCCUUCCGCUAGUGCUGCCUGCCCAGCUUGGUUGUAAGCUUAUUGGAGUGUUUAAAACUCCUAUCCUGAAAAGCUGAAAGAGAAAAUGAAAACUAGUCCAUGAGAGGUCUAGAGAGUCACAGAGAGAGGGUGGGUCAACGUCCCGAGGAGGAGGAAAGGGACAGAUGCUUCACUCAGGAGACAGGUCAACUGACAGGAAGAGGCAGCAAUUUCCCUGUUUCUGUGGGGAGUAAAGUCAUUGUCCUGGGGCAGACACGUGACAGCAUGACACAGUACUGUACACAGCAAGACCAAUUACUUCAAUCAUUUGCUGAAGGAAGAAGUAACAUUUUUUUUUUAAACUUUGACAUGCUAAGACAGACUGCUUCCUUUUGGAAGAAAGAGAAACUACAAACCAAAGUCUACUAAAAACUGAUGGAAUAUUUCAGAAGUUCUUUCUCUGUGACAAUUCUUAAAAACCAAUAUCUAUUUUUAUUAUUAUAAUAUUUAGAUACGUACAAUGGAUUGCUGAUAGUCACUCUUCAGGCACCCCUCCACCUCCUCUGAAGAAGGCCCAUGGAUCCUCUGGCAGGUUCCAAGGCAACACCACACUUCUCUACAAUUUCUGACUUUUCCAAAGGACUUAUUUGUGUAUUUUAAAAUGAGUUGAUUGACUGGAUCAAAUUAUUUUGAUAUUUAAUUAUUAAUCUUAUUUGUAACAGCUUAACUUUUGAAACAUGACCUUACAAUUCCCAUAUCCUCUUUUUAUGUCGUUUUCUACCUUUUCCUUCUGGGCUAUUUUUAUGCUGAAGAUUUUUGCAAAAGAUCAUUAGGGGAAUAAAAUAGGCAAUAAUAUGGCUCAUUUACUUAUUCGGAGGCCAAUACAGGAAAACUUUCCCCUAGAUCUUGGCUAAGCUAUUUAUCAGAGUUCGUUUUUUUAUACCAAGCAGGUUUUAUUUGCAUACUUAAGAAUAUUAUACUCAUAUGUGCGUAUAAACAAUGAAUGAAAAAGAAGCCAUGAAUGUGAGAGAGAGUGAGGAUGGGUGUAUGCAGGGCGGGGAUGGGGUGCAGAGGUGUAUGGAGGGGGGAAGGGAAGUGAGGAGUGAUGGAAUACUGCAGUCUCAAAAAAAAAAAGAAAAGAAAUAAUUUUCAAUCUAGAGUUUGUUAUUUUUGAUUGGGCAUUUAUGUGUCUAUAUGAAUUUAAGUACGAUGUGUUUGAUCUGUUGUGCUGUUUCUCUCUCUCUCCUCUCCACGUUCAUUGUGCUAACGGGCACCUUAUUGUAUUUAAUAUGAGUGAAAACAGAUGAACUGAACCACUGGUGUUUCAGGCAAGCAAUAGGCUUUGACCUAAAUUAGGACAGGGCUCCCCUAUCAUCUGGAAGCUAUGUUCUAGCUCUGCCUCUCUAAAGAAGGGAGCCUAGUCUAGGUGUGCUAGCCUUAAAAGGGAUUUCGUUCUCAGAGGGGCAUGGUCCUGUUUUGUAACCUGGGACAAAGAUACUGUGGCUCUCUCUUGUGGGCUUCCCCCACGUUUGUGUUGUUCUCGGCUUGGGAAUAAAUCUAAUUCUCUCCCUCCCACUCUCUUUCCUAUUCUAGUCUCAAGAGAACAUGGAGGAAGUCCAGCAAUUUCUCAUGAAGUUUGACGCGCUGUCUCUGCCUAGUGCGGAUGGGAGCAGUGACUGUGUGUCCCCCGCUGUCCUUCUCAUCACAUCACGACACCUGCUGAGGAUGCUUCAGUUUGACUCCUUGCGGGUCAUCGGUUUCUUCAGACUGAGUUUCUUCUGGGUCUGCUGGCUGUCCAUCCACAUCACCUACAAGCACGGUCUGCAGAGACACAGCCUGUGCCUCCAGCAGGCAUCCAAGGCCCCGCUGCUGACCAUACUACCCUUCUGCUUCUCCCUCACGCCUAAGGCUCCUGUGAAUCCAGUGUGGAUAACUGUACACUCUGAGACUUUGGGGGGAACUCAAGAGGAGCAUCGAUGCGCUCUGGGUUCUCUUUGGGUAGAUAGGCUGUCAGGAAUUUCUUGAGCACACACCAUCUUCAGGUCCAUCUGCCUCAUCCAAAUCUUUCUCCCUACCUUGCCUUUGUGGCUCUCAAGCUGAAGAAGGCUAUUUGAGCCUAGGAUCCCCCUUUCCCCUCUCUUCUGAUUUGGUUUCCAGAGCCUUUUUACUGUGCUUGAACAUUCGCAUUCUUUACUUACGCGUUGAUUUCUCUGCCUUCAUGGAAUCUCGGUGAAGAUGAAGACACCGUCUGCUUUGAUCAUUGCUUUAUGUCUGACACGUAGAACAGCAUCUCGCACAGGGAGGAGGCUCAGAAAACAUUUGUCAGAAGAAGAAUGAAUAAAUAAAUGAGUAAACUUAUGUGGGGUACUUCGACUUACUGUAUCUAGUAAGCAGAAAUACCUUAAGUACAGGGAAGGAUUGUGGUGCCACAGAUUUCCCCCCACCCCCCACCUGUGGACAAUUUCUUACAGUUUCAUUAUCAAUAGACAUAUAGUAGAUUUAUGUGUUUGCUAUGAGAGUGGAACUGGAAUGGACAUAAAGGCAGAACUGCCUCUGCUUCCUCUCUUCUUGGCUGAUCAGUUCCAUUUCCUGACACACGUGUUUGAAGGAACCUGGUGGGCCUCGGAUUGUGUACAAUUGUGUAUCUUUGGAAAAGUCAGAGCUCUCUUGCUCUUGGCCAUGCUCAUGAUUUCUAGCUGGAAUCAAGGAAAAGUCAUUGCUUACAUUCUUCUCGGAAACCCUUGGUACAGUUGCUUGAAAAAGCCUGGAGGAAUGCAAUAAAAUAUAAAGAUGGAGACGCUGGUGGGAAAUGGACCUGAAGUUUCCUGGGUGUUUGUUUCCAUUCACGAGUAUAAGCAGAGAGAUUUAUAAUUCCAGAAAUCACAUUUUCCCCCUAAGCUGCUUUUUAUCUUCUUCUUCUAAAUGUUACUGCAGCUCACGUGCUUCUUCAAAAUCAGAAGUGAGGAUUAAAGAAGGUAAAUGUGUGGAAGAGAUUUACUGACUCCCUGGCGCAUCUCCUGUUGAGGUGGAAGCAAUCAGGGCUAUGCAUCUGGGAACACAGAGAGAAUUUAUUAGGUCUUAAGUCUUGGUACAGGUUCUCUGGGGGCUACACAGAGGAGAGAGUCUUUGAAAUUCUUCUUGAGCGUUAAGUGCAGCUCGCUCCCGGGUCAUGAGAUCUAGCAAGCACAACGUCUUAAAUCACAUGUCGGAUCUCAGGACUAAGGGAUUACUCCGCAUAUGGGGAAUUAACACGUUUGCAGUCGUUUAAUAACCACAGGCUAGAGAGUGGAGAUUGAAAGCCCGAGCUGCUUUUGCAGACCCUGGGGUUUCUGAAGACCCAUUUCUAAGAGGAAUUGUGUUUUCCAUGUAACUCCACUUCUCGGUAAGCUACCCCCUUCUGCCACCUCCCUCCCACUUCAGAUGGUUCUCAUUUGGCGCAGUUUUGCCCCCUUGGAAAAAAAACAACUAAACUAGAUCAUCUCUUAAAUGUACUGAAAGCACUGGACGUAAUAAAUCAUGAAAGGCGAUACCUUCCCUCAAACUGAAUCACGACUCCUAAUGCAGCUGACUUGUACAUUUGAAUUCCCUGUGGGUUGGCUUAAAGCUUGGCUCGGUGCCAGGUGGCCAUUAGGCAAUUGUGUGGGUGACUCUAGUACACUCUUGGUAAUUGCCCCCAGGCUUGUAAAUGGCCCCAACAAAAGGACAAGGCACACUUCUAUAUAAUUUUACAGAAGAGGGAAAAAAAAGAUACAAUAUGGAAAUUUUAUUACAACCUACAUUAGCUGCCUCUGCUUGUGCGCAUAAGAGACAAGUGAUAUUAUAGGUAUAAUUAAAUUGGAGAGAGAGAGAGAAAAAUAUGUGUGUCUAUGCUGUUGGUAUUAUUUCUGGGUAGAGAAAGCUUAAAGAAGAACUCAUCUUAUAUGGCCAUAGGGAUCUGGAUCUGCUGAGGCCCAUAUUCAUCAUCUUUUCCUUUAUUUGUUGCAAGUGGAGUAGUUUAUAAAUCAACUGUUGAAGUGCUGGUAGGUAUAUUUCAGGGUCUGUCACCCCCUGCACUGCUUGGUCCUGGAAACCUGACUGGGUCAUUGAGGGAGUGAAGGAAGGACAGACACACAGACACAUGUACAGAAAACCUGGGAUCUGAUGGUCUGUGCUUGCUCCGGUGGACCAGCAACAACUAGGUGACAAUCUGGAGUCUCAGCAUGCAUAUUACACACAGCAUGAGAGAGACUGGAUGACUAGGAGAAGAUGCUCACUGGCUUGGUGCCGUCUUCUACUCUGGGAUGUCUGCACAUCCUUUCCUCUGGCCCAGCCCA
rnacentral:lncRNA from 1 species